rnacentral:rRNA from 1 species
AGUGAACGCUGGCGGUAGGCCUAACACAUGCAAGUCGAACGGCAGCACAGUAAGAGCUUGCUCUUACGGGUGGCGAGUGGCGGACGGGUGAGGAAUACAUCGGAAUCUACUUUUUCGUGGGGGAUAACGUAGGGAAACUUACGCUAAUACCGCAUACGACCUACGGGUGAAAGCAGUGGAUCUUCGGACCUUGCGCGAUUGAAUGAGCCGAUGUCGGAUUAGCUAGUUGGCGGGGUAAAGGCUCACCAAGGCGACGAUCCGUAGCUGGUCUGAGAGGAUGAGCGGCCAAACUGGAAGGAAGACACGGUCAAGACUCCGACGGUAGGCAGCAGUAGGGAAGCGUCUGCAAUGGGCGAAAGCCUGACGGAGCCACGCCGCGGGAGUGAUGAAGGUCUUCGGAUCGUAAAACUCUUUUAGUAGGGAAGAACAAAUGUGUAAGUAACUAUGCACGUCUUGACGGUACCGAAUCAGAAAGCCACGGCUAACUACGGG